UCCCUUGAGAUGACAAUCCCAUUGGUGGACACUUUCCUCGCUUUGUCAGUUCAGAUCCCAUUCAAUUAUAUACCCGUGGAGAAAUGGUAUGUCUUCCAAGCUUUUGUAGUGGCCACAGCAGCAUUUUUUAUCUGGAAAAGGUUGCUUCACUUCAUCUUCAACUGCUGUGGUCUGGAAAUACCCCAUAUACCACAAUGGAUGCGUGCUCUUAUCGCAUACAUAAAGUUACAUCUUUCUACCACCCUGUAUGCGAUUAAAUGUGGUUGACCUUUUAUUAUGAACUAAGACUGCGUCACAUCAUGAACACUUUUAUGGGCAGUCAUCUUUAUCCUUUGUCUACCCAAAACAGAAACAAGUUUGAAGGAAAGAGCGUCCAAGACCUUGAUGCUUCAAUUGAUUCCCCCUGUCGUACUAACAGUAAUCCAAACAAUUGAAGCUGUUGUGUUCCUAGCUGGACGCUACCUGGUGAGUCUAUGCCUGUUCCUUCGAAGAUUCUUUGCAAACUAUUAAACCAAGGAUCCUUUGUAGAUUGCAGAAUAGCUUGCUCCAAUGGAUGAAACAGGAUGACAAGAGCAAUCAUCUGUGGAAUCAGAUUUCGUCCAUUUUAAAAUGCCCUCUUGGACCGCAUAUUGAGCAACUUAGCUUACCACGUAACCAGCAUUUCCUUUAGUAUGCCAUGUUGCUGCU